GGUUUCUGUAUAUUCGUUAUCAGAUUUGUUUUUUGGACUUUAUAUGCCUUUAUGUUCUGUUUGGUCGCUGAGAAAAUGUGGAAAAGAAGGAAAAUUUAGUUCUAUUGAUGGUAAAGUUUUCGUCUUUUUUUGGGUGGUUGGGGGUGGGGGAUAUUGUUUGACUUAAUUGAGGAAACCAGGAUUCAAUAGAAUAUGAUAGAGGAAACCAGAAUACAAUAGAGUAUGAUAUUAAAAGAAUUUAAAAUUUCAAUUUUUGUCUGGCUUUCUUGGCAUCCAAACUGAGCCUAAUUAAUUUCAGGUGGGUUCUGUUUGUUCUGGUUCUGGAUUAUGUUUGUUUGUUGUACCAGGUGUUUGUCUUUUCUAUUUAUGUUUAUAUCUACUGCUGGAUUGGAUUUUUUGUGCUCAGAGCUGUGUUUGGCUAAGAAGACAACUAGGUGUCAUCUUUAAGGCACUGUCUCAGUUUCCAUGAGCGGGCAACUCAUGACUUGUACGGUUGACUUUGCAUUAAAUUCUUUCAGAAAGUGCCCAAUAUUGCUUUGAAAUAGUCUCCAUCUUUGUUUUGUUUGAAGCAUACUAAACAGAAUGUCUUUUUUUUUUUUUUUUCUUUUUCUGUUUCAAUUUUUAGCUGUCAUGAAUUAUUUUAUUGUGGGAAGGUGCUGCUCUAAUAUGAUGUACAUCUUGCUUUUGUUUGCAACUCAUUGCUUUUUUGUCCUUAUUUGGGAUCUCCAUGGAAAUGACUGUGUUUAUAGUUUCAAAAAGCAUUUUAAGCUUAAUAGUUUAUCAUUGGAGAGCAGGCUACUACCCCUUUGCAGAAUCCUUAAAAAUCAUUAGGAUUAUUUGUGGUGGUGGCUUCUCAAAAUUUACCACUAUGAUGUCAAACUUUAGUGCCAAAUUUGCCACUAUGUUUUUAGUUUCAGAAAGCAUUUUAAGCUUAACAGUUUAUGAUUGGAGAGCAGGUUACAAUCCCUUUGCAGAAUCCUUAAAACUCAUUAGGAUUAGUUGUGGUGAUGGCUUCUCAAAAUUUGCCACUAGAUGUCAAACUCUCCCUUCCCUCUCUCCCUUGUUGUCACCUAUGAAGCACGGGUGCGUUUUUGGAUUCGGGUGCGGUUGCCGAUGCGGGACUCGGCAAUUUUUGAAAAAGUUAGGGUGCGAGUGAGGCAGGGUGUGGCGAUUAAAAAAUUAUUAUUUAUAUUUUCUAUAUAUUGCUAAGCAUAAAUUAUAAAAUUAUGUUUUGAAAAUACAAUUUUAUGAUUUUACAAUUAUAAUUGAAAUUAUAUUUUUAAAAUACAACUUCACAAAAUAUAUGCAAGACUGUGUGUAACUAAUUAUAUACAACAAUAAUUAAUCUAUAUUAAAAUCUCAAUUGUUUUAUAGGGCACAACUUCACACGUGUUUCAUUCGUGCACUAAACUAAAUAAAGCCAUGGUGCUUCUACAGUUCUUAUACACACCUACUAGACUUCUUCCACUCUUUUUUGUUUCUCUCUCUCUCUCUCUCUCUACAAUCAACCCAUGGAAAACUACUCCUUCACUUCAUACCCUGACUCCGGCGAAUCCUUGCCGCAUUCACGCGAAAUCGACUUUGAGAAUCCGCCACCGUGGGACGAUCAGCCUCACCGGAACUACAAAGUGAAGUUCAUGUGUAGCUAUGGCGGCAAGAUCCACCCUCGUCCUCACGACAAUCAGAACUACUACUUCUUUUUUUUUUUUUUUUAAUAACUUGAAUUUCAGCUUGAAUUGGCGCCAGUACGACUUGACUUGGUGUGUUUCAGCAUUUUGGGCCGAUAUGGACCGAUUUGGCCCGAGUUGGUGCGAAUCAGGAAACGAAAAAAUAAUAAUAAUAAAAAAAUAAACUGGGCACAGCACCGACGCUCGGGCAGCGGCGACACACGAUCGGGCCGCGUCAGACGCGGGUGUGGCGCCCAUUUUGCCACGUCCGUGCAUCCUAGGUCGUCACCCCUCCAUCUCCCCAACCCUCGGCCCCAAGUCAAUUUUAUUCUUUAUGUGCUUUAUGUAAUUGUGCGAGCGACGCCGCGUUGGGCCGCGUCAAACGCAGGUGCAGCGCCCAUUUUGCUGCAUCCAUGCAUUCCAGGUCAUCACCCCUCCAUCUCCCCAACCCCCAGCCCCAAGUCAAUUUUAUUCUUCAUUUGCUUUAUGUAAUUGUUAGUAGGUAUGUCCCUUGUUUAUUACGUUUCUUUUCAGACAGUUACACAUUAAUCUGAAUUCAGUACA